AUGGCUCAGAUUGAACGCUGGCGGCAGGCCUAACACAUGCAAG
rnacentral:rRNA from 1 species